UACAGAGGUCCCAAGCGUUGUUCGGAUUCAUUGGGCGUAAAGGGUGCGUAGGCGGCGCGGUAAGUCGGGUGUGAAAUCUCGGGGCUUAACUCCGAAACUGCAUUCGAUACUGCCGAGCUUGAGGACAGGAGAGGAACGCGGAAUUCCAGGUGUAGCGGUGAAAUGCGUAGAUAUCUGGAGGAACACCGGUGGCGAAGGCGGCGUUCUGGACUGUUUCUGACACUGUAAAACGAAAGCCAGGGGAGCAAACGGG
rnacentral:rRNA from 1 species